rnacentral:rRNA from 1 species
CUGGCGGCAUGCCUUACACAUGCAAGUCGAACGGUAACGCGGGGCAACCUGGCGACGAGUGGCGAACGGGUGAGUAAUGUAUCGGAACGUGCCCAGUAGUGGGGGAUAGCCCGGCGAAAGCCGGAUUAAUACCGCAUGAGACCUGAGGGUGAAAGCGGGGGAUCGCAAGACCUCGCGCUACUGGAGCGGCCGAUAUCAGAUUAGGUAGUUGGUGGGGUAAAAGCCUACCAAGCCGACGAUCUGUAGCUGGUCUGAGAGGACGACCAGCCACACUGGGACUGAGACACGGCCCAGACUCCUACGGGAGGCAGCAGUGGGGAAUUUUGGACAAUGGGCGCAAGCCUGAUCCAGCCAUGCCGCGUGCGGGAAGAAGGCCUUCGGGUUGUAAACCGCUUUUGUCAGGGAAGAAAUCCUCUGGGCUAAUACCCCGGGGGGAUGACGGUACCUGAAGAAUAAGCACCGGCUAACUACGUGCCAGCAGCCGCGGUAAUACGUAGGGUGCAAGCGUUAAUCGGAAUUACUGGGCGUAAAGCGUGCGCAGGCGGUUAUGCAAGACAGGUGUGAAAUCCCCGGGCUUAACCUGGGAACUGCACUUGUGACUGCAUAGCUCGAGUACGGUAGAGGGGGAUGGAAUUCCGCGUGUAGCAGUGAAAUGCGUAGAUAUGCGGAGGAACACCGAUGGCGAAGGCAGUCCCCUGGACCUGUACUGACGCUCAUGCACGAA